UUGCGGACAGUGUCUGGUGGGUAGUUUGACUGGGGCGGUCUCCUCCUAAAGAGUAACGGAGGAGCACGAAGGUUAGCUAAUCCUGGUCGGACAUCAGGAGGUUAGUGCAAAGGCAUAAGCUAGCUUGACUGCGAGAGUGACGGCUCGAGCAGGUGCGAAAGCAGGUCUUAGUGAUCCGGUGGUUCUGAAUGGAAGGGCCAUCGCUCAACGGAUAAAAGGUACUCCGGGGAUAACAGGCUGAUACCGCCCAAGAGUUCAUAUCGACGGCGGUGUUUGGCACCUCGAUGUCGGCUCAUCACAUCCUGGGGCUGAAGUAGGUCCCAAGGGUAUGGCUGUUCGCCAUUUAAAGUGGUACGCGAGCUGGGUUUAGAACGUCGUGAGACAGUUCGGUCCCUAUCUGCCGUGGGCGCUGGAGAAUUGAGGGGGGCUGCUCCUAGUACGAGAGGACCGGAGUGGACGCAUCACUGGUGUUCGGGUUGUCAUGCCAAUGGCAUUGCCCGGUAGCUAAAUGCGGAAGAGAUAAGUGCUGAAAG
rnacentral:rRNA from 1 species